rnacentral:rRNA from 1 species
UGGGGAAUAUUGCACAAUGGGCGCAAGCCUGAUGCAGCCAUGCCGCGUGUGUGAAGAAGGCCUUCGGGUUGUAAAGCACUUUCAGCGGGGAGGAAGGCGUUAAGGUUAAUAACCUUGGCGAUUGACGUUACCCGCAGAAGAAGCACCGGCUAACUCCGUGCCAGCAGCCGCGGUAAUACGGAGGGUGCAAGCGUUAAUCGGAAUUACUGGGCGUAAAGCGCACGCAGGCGGUCUGUCAAGUCGGAUGUGAAAUCCCCGGGCUCAACCUGGGAACUGCAUUCGAAACUGGCAGGCUAGAGUCUUGUAGAGGGGGGUAGAAUUCCAGGUGUAGCGGUGGAAUGCGUAGAGAUCUGGGGGAAUACCGGUGGCGAAGGCGGCCCCCUGGACAAAGACUGACGCUCAGGUGCGAAAGCGUGGGGAGCAAACAGG